CAGCCCUGUCACCCCGGCAGAGCUCCCGGGGCUGUGCGGAGCUCUGGGACAGCUGUGCCCGGCACUCCCGGCCCCGGGGCUGGGACCCCAGCGCUGCUCCUGGAGAGCUGCUGGAGGAAUCCCACGUGCAGGAAAGGGCCAAACUUCUGCCUGGAAUUGAUGCUGACUGCUUUGCUGUGUGUGGAGGCAGGGGAUGAAAGCUGGCAGCUGGAAGUGAGGUUUGCAGCUCCCCAGGAGGAUGGAGAGGGGGGCUCUGCAGCUGAGGAGCCCACCCAGCCCUGAUGCUUCCCUGGCACAUCCAGGCCAGCAGUGACCACCUACAAGAGCUGCUCGAGUGCUCCUUGAUGAAUUCAAGUGAAAAUCUGGCGCACAGACGGCAGGAAUGGCCGAGAGGAUAAAUGAAAUAGAAAAUACGGCUCUGCAGCUGCUUCCAGUUAAGAGCUUCCCCCCUUUCCGUGAACGAAGUAGUAAAGCUACAGAUUUGGUUGAAAUAUUUUUGAAGAAAUUUUCAUCUCCUGGAUCCCCAGUUGGAGCAGAGCAAUCAAAGGGAAAUGACAGGAAAAUAAAUGGAAGAAACUAAUCAAAAAGACAA